UGGCUCUCGCAUCGAUGAAGAACGCAGCGAAAUGCGAUAAGUAAUGUGAAUUGCAGAAUUCAGUGAAUCAUCGAAUCUUUGAACGCACCUUGCGCUCCUUGGUAUUCCGAGGAGCAUGCCUGUUUGAGUGUCAUGGUAUUCUCAAUCCACUCUGAAUUUUUGAAAAGAAAUUUGUUUGGAAUUGGACUUGGAGGCCUUUUGUUGGUUAUACUUUGUUGAUCGACUCCUCUAAAAUACAUUAGCAGGAACGAAGUGCCAUCUUCAGUGUGAUAAUUAUCUGCGCUGUGGACUGGUUCUUGAAGUUCUCGCUUCUAAUGGUCUAUUUUCUUAGACAUUUUUAUGACAUCGGACCUCAAAUCAGGUAGGAUUACCCGCUGA
rnacentral:misc_RNA from 1 species